rnacentral:rRNA from 1 species
UGGGGAAUUUUGGACAAUGGGCGAAAGCCUGAUCCAGCAAUGCCGCGUGUGUGAAGAAGGCCUUCGGGUUGUAAAGCACUUUUGUCCGGAAAGAAAUCCUUGGCUCUAAUACAGUCGGGGGAUGACGGUACCGGAAGAAUAAGCACCGGCUAACUACGUGCCAGCAGCCGCGGUAAUACGUAGGGUGCAAGCGUUAAUCGGAAUUACUGGGCGUAAAGCGUGCGCAGGCGGUUUGCUAAGACCGAUAUGAAAUCCCCGGGCUCAACCUGGGAACUGCAUUGGUGACUGGCAGGCUAGAGUAUGGCAGAGGGGGGUAGAAUUCCACGUGUAGCAGUGAAAAUGCGUAGAGAUGCGGAGGAAUACCGAUGGCGAAGGCCAGCCCCCUGGGCCAAUACUGACGCUCAUGCACGAAAAGCGUGGGGAGCAAAACAGGAUUAGAUACCCUGGUAGUCCACGCCCUAAAACGAUGUCAACUAGUUGUUGGGGAUUCAUUUCCUUAGUAACGUAGCUAACGCGUGAAGUUGACCGCCUGGGGGAGUACGGUCGCAAGAUUAAAACUUAAAUGAAUUGACGGGGUCAUAGCUGUUUCCU